rnacentral:rRNA from 1 species
UACGUAGGGUGCAAGCGUUAAUCGGAAUUACUGGGCGUAAAGCGUGCGCAGGCGGUUGUGCAAGACAGAUGUGAAAUCCCCGGGCUUAACCUGGGAAUUGCAUUUGUGACUGCACGGCUAGAAUCUGGCAGAGGGGGGUAGAAUUCCACGUGUAGCAGUGAAAUGCGUAGAGAUGUGGAGGAAUACCGAUGGCGAAGGCAGCCCCCUGGGCUAAGAUUGACGCUCAUGCGCGAAAGCGUGGGGAGCAAACAGG